rnacentral:rRNA from 1 species
AUUGAACGCUGGCGGCAGGCUUAACACAUGCAAGUCGAGCGGGGUGAUGGUGCUUGCACUAUCACUUAGCGGCGGACGGGUGAGUAAUGCUUAGGAAUCUGCCUAUUAGUGGGGGACAACAUCUCGAAAGGGAUGCUAAUACCGCAUACGUCCUACGGGAGAAAGCAGGGGAUCACUUGUGACCUUGUGCUAAUAGAUGAGCCUAAGUCGGAUUAGCUAGUUGGUGGGGUAAAGGCCUACCAAGGCGACGAUCUGUAGCGGGUCUGAGAGGAUGAUCCGCCACACUGGGACUGAGACACGGCCCAGACUCCUACGGGAGGCAGCAGUGGGGAAUAUUGGACAAUGGGGGGAACCCUGAUCCAGCCAUGCCGCGUGUGUGAAGAAGGCCUUAUGGUUGUAAAGCACUUUAAGCGAGGAGGAGGCUUACCUAGUUAAUACCUGGGAUAAGUGGACGUUACUCGCAGAAUAAGCACCGGCUAACUCUGUGCCAGCAGCCGCCGUAA